UACGUAGGGUGCAAGCGUUGUCCGGAAUUAUUGGGCGUAAAGGGCUCGUAGGCGGUUUGUCGCGUCGGGAGUGAAAUCCACUGGCUUAACUGGUGGCUUGCUUCGAUACGGGCAGACUGGAGGUAUGCAGGGGAGAACGGAAUUCCUGGUGUAGCGGUGAAAUGCGCAGAUAUCAGGAGGAACACCGGUGGCGAAGGCGGGUCUCUGGGCAGUAACUGACGCUGAGGCGCGAAAAGCUAGGGGAGCAAACAGG
rnacentral:rRNA from 1 species